rnacentral:lncRNA from 1 species
AUUCAGCAGUUACCAGCUUGCUAGUCAGAGGGCAUGUCAUACAGUCUAAGAGAGCUGCAUUCAUUUCUGGUCAGGCCACAGAUGCAGGUUACCAAGCAAAUGUUUCAUUGUCCCCUAGGAGCCAGCACUCUAACUUUUGUCAUAAGAAAAUGAUGCACACAGAAGCAACCUAUAUGCUGUGCUCUGUUAUCUACUGAUGCCUGUGUUCUCCUCAACACUGUGGCAGUCAACUAUCUGGAGGGAUAUGGAGCUUAGUGGGAAGCUGCCACAUCUUCACUUUUGCUUCAAUAAGGUUCUAACCAUGAAAACUGCACUCCAACUAGAGAGAAUAAUUUCCAUUCUCAAACUCUGGAGGUAAGAAUAUGUCAUUCCACGAUCCCUGAGUAAUCUUACUUACAGCUUCCCUAGAAAAUGCACAUUUAGAUUUAGCUUGUUGAUGAGAUUCAAAUAAUAGGCUUCAUUGACUCCCAAGAGACUAUGAAGUAUCAAUUUUUUAGCUCUUUGAUUUCUUAAACC